GAUGAACGCUGGCGGCGUGCCUAAUACAUGCAAGUCGAGCGAACGGACGAGAAGCUUGCUUCUCUGAUGUUAGCGGCGGACGGGUGAGUAACACGUGGAUAACCUACCUAUAAGACUGGGAUAACUUCGGGAAACCGGAGCUAAUACCGGAUAAUAUUUUGAACCGCAUGGUUCAAAAGUAAAAGACGGUCUUGCUGUCACUUAUAGAUGGAUCCGCGCUGCAUUAGCUAGUUGGUAAGGUAACGGCUUACCAAGGCAACGAUGCAUAGCCGACCUGAGAGGGGGAAUGGGCACAAUGGAACCGAGAAAAGGGCCAAGACCCCAAGGGGGGCAGCCGGAGGGAAUCCUUCCGCAAGGGGGGAAGGCCUACGGGGCCACGGCCGGGGAGUGAUGAAGGGUCUCGGAUCGGAAAAACCCUUUAAUAGGGAAGAAAAUAUGGGUAAGGUAACGGUCAAAACCUUACGGUACCCAAUCAAAAAGCCCCGGCCUACUACGUG
rnacentral:rRNA from 1 species